AUUUUAUUUCCACACAAUCAAACGAGCUUUAUAUUGCAUGCUUGCAUUUUCACACAUUUUUUCACCUAACAGCUGACUCCCUCCUUAGUCUAUCCUAAAAUUUCUUUUGUACUUUCUAGGCGGUUCACAUCGUCUCUAACAGACAAACAACACGUUAAGAAGAUUGUUUCAGAUUGCCCCAGCCAAACUAGUACUGUCACAAUCACACUGUUACAGCAUCAACAUAUACUUGCUACAAGUACAACGACAAACUUGCAUCAGCAUUGAUCGAACAAAUUAGGCUAUAUUAACAGCUACCGGCUUUCCCCUACCCAUUCAAAAUCCUCUUGUACCAUCCGGCAUUCGGGGCCCUGGUGGUUGCUUGGCAAUUACUCGAUCCGUGAAAAUUGUAUUAUUUGAAGGGGGUGUUCCCACACGAUUAUUCUGAUGACAAUGCACUCGACCUCGUCCCUUACCUCGGCCCCGACUUCGACCUUUCCUUUGCCCAGUCUCUUUUUCAUAACCAUGAUCUUCUCCAGCAUGUUCAUGCAACUGAGUAUCAGGGAAGGAAGCAUCUUCUAAUUGUUUCUCACUUGCAUGUGGCUCAGGCACAGA
rnacentral:sRNA from 1 species